UUUUCCAGCCCAGAAUUCCAUCUGCCGGCAUUCUCCCUCUUCAUGUAAACCUUGUAAAAUAAGAGAGAAUAGGCAUAAGUAUUGUGACAUAACGUGUAAUAACAGCCCAUAAUGCAAUAAAUAUCGAUAUAAAAGCAUGAUGCAAAAUGGACGUAUCACAAGGCAACCGUGAGUACUCAUCCAAAGUACUCGCAAGCAUCAGAUCUAAACUAAGUAUGCAUUGGUAUAAAAUGGAAGGGUUGUGUCUGUGGACUGAACUGCAGAAAGCCAGAAUAGAGAGGAAGGCCUAGCCUAUCGAAGACUAGCAUCUUCAAGCAACUCCAAGCAUCUUGCAGCAUGUAGAAGAGUAAAGAAUAGCAGUUUAUAAUUAAAAAUCAUGUUGUAGUAUUAAUGCCCAGAGAUCCUUCCUCGACUCCCUGCGAGGAAGCAAUCCCGGGGCCACAUAUCCAUCACCAAGUAUCCAUUUCUAGUUGUAUAAGAUCAUGACACAAGUCUGAACGUCCGUUACCAUCGACACGGUAUUCGAAUAUAUAUCUUCCCUGCAGGGGUGCACCACGUUACCCAACACGCUCGAUCACUCUGGUCGGACACACUUUCCUGGGUCAUGCCCGGCCUCGGAAGAUCAACACGUCGCAGCCCUACCUGGGCUCAGCACAGAGGUCCCUGCCGGUCUACAUCCUAAGUGCCCCGGGGUCUUGGGCUCAUCGCCCGUUGCACUCCGGGUCGUUGCGCGCAGGGUGGAUACCAGCACCGCCUCGGAUGGCCAACACGAUCCGACCGUGCCGCCAUGUUGAACUGGACGUCUGACAAAGCUUCAGCUGAUACUGCGACAUCGAGGCCCAUAACUAUUCUCGCGUGGUGGUUAGUGCGUAAAGGCCAGAGGCCAACUCAGAACAAAUACCCAAACCUGUUAGUGCAUUAUUAAAAGAAGUGACGGCUGUCGGGACAAGUACGGAGCUAUCACCCCCUCCUGGGUGAUACCACUAAACAGCCAGCCGCCACUGUAACAACUCCUCGGGUGCUCUCUGGGCCCGCUCAUCUUUCACCAAUUUCUCAAGAAAAGUCAAGGUAACCGUGUGUCCAAACAUCAAGGGGAAAACCCAAGGAAUCACCCUCGGAAGAUUCCACUCGAUGUAAUCAUCAAGGUGAACGUAAGAGGAACCACCCUCGAGGUUCACACUUGAGGUGUUGCAUGACAGAGUCGUAUCGGAAGUGGUUAAAGAGGAAUCACCCUCGAUGACCACGACCGAAUAGCUACACUACAGAGAUCUCAUCAGGAGUGAUGUAUGAGGUUCUACCCACGGCCCUCGAUGGUAACUCUACAGAGUCGAGCAACAAAGGGGGUGUGAUGUGAUGUGUUGGGCUCUGGUUGUCGUUCACGUUGAUCGAGUCGUCGAUGAUGAAGCAGGGGCAACAAGGACAAGGUGGGGGUCACUGAUGGUUCACUUAUCCAACCUAUACUAAGCAGUUCAGGAUAAGCAGGUAGGUAACAAUAGCAGGUACAAAAGCAGGCUAUGCAUCAGAAUAGGAGCAAUCAAAUACAGUAGCAAAAUCUAAUGCAAGCAUGAGAGAAUGGAAUGGGCGAUAUCGAGAUGAUCAUAGGGGGGGUUGCCUGGAAGCUCCGCUGAAAGGGAAGAAGGGUCGUCGUCGACGUAGUCGAUCACAGCGGCAGCGGUCUGGGGGUCUACCGGAGAGAAGAGGGGGAAGAAAGAGUAAAUACAGAGCAAACAAGUGCAAUACUAUGCAUGACAAGACAAAAAGCAGCGCUAGGGGUGUUCUAACACAGUGUUACACGAUACCGCCGAAGGGGGAUAACAUCCGGGAAAGUUUUCCUGAAGUUUGCAUUUUCGGACAGAUGAAACUGAGGGGGACGGUUGCAUGUUCGCUAUGCUAGGGGCAUAUGACAGAUGAACGGAGAGCGUAUUCGGAUUCGUCUCGUCGUUUUGAGCAACUUUCAUGUACAAAUUAAGUAUUUUCAUCUGAGUUACGGAUUAUUUUCUAUGAUUUUGUAAAGUUUUAGAAAAAUUCUGAAAUUAUUAUUAAUUCGAAAUUAAAUGCUAAAAGCUAGGUGCACCCAGCACAGUGUACACCAAAGUGUACCCAGUGGCUGAUAGGUGGACCGGGGGGUCCCAGUUGACCACUCAACGUUUGAUGAGGUAGACAUAUCUAACUAAUUAUAGAUGAGGUAGUUAAUUAGCAGGUUAACUUAAUUAAGAAAACUUUAAAUAAGUUAAUUAAUUAAUUAAUUUAAUUUUUAUCUUCUUUUUUUGUUUUUGUUUUUACAAAAAAGGGCGUGGGGCCCAUAGGCCAGUGGCCAGGCCAUAGCGGGCAGGCGUUAUCGGGCAGGGAAAAAAAUUCUGUGCAGACCGGCUGCAAAUCAAAUCCUGUGUAUACCCGACCCCGAUGGGUGACACGUGUACAGGCACAACAUCUGACGGCCGCCUGGUAGAGCGAGCGCUCCUCUCCACCGCGACGGCUCGGUCGCUCGGCUCGGCUCGAAUAGGAAACCCUCGUCCACCGUCGUGGUCGCCGCGUGCGCUAGCGGCCCCCUCGUCCGCCGCCGCCACACCCCAGAUCGACGACUGCCGCCACAACGUUUUUGCCUGAUACUCCGCCCUCCCCGUGCCCAUCACGCUCAGCAAGUAGCAGCGGAAGAAGGCGGCGCAGCGCAGCGCCAGCAGCGGCCUGAGGCAGCCGGCAAGGAGACAGAGCUCUUCGCCCCAAACUACGGCCGUCAAUGCCAGGUCCAGCCCAAGUCCGUCUUCACCAGAUUUACAAAAACUUGUUUAUUUCAACAACUUUCCUUGUAACAAGGUUUAUCUGAACACUACACUUCUGAUUUACAGAUAUAAUCAAGCCACACAUGCUCUUUACCGAAUCUAAAAUCAGAAUGCCAAUAUAGGAGCAGAAGCUGGGUAUACGCCCCGGACUGAAGAUAAAAUCAGAGCGGUUCCGUGACAAAUGCUCAAACAUGUGUACAUAAAUUGAAAGACUUGUAGUUUGAUGAUUCUGGCCUUUCUGAAUUCUGUGUAAUCUGAAAGUUUGCCAAGAUUGUAAUAGAAACAUAGAUCCCAUUGUAAUCUAUUCGGGACCCUUUUGUCGUUUACAAGUAUCUCAUGAUAGGAACAAGAGAAACAAUCUCAGUUUGGAAGUCUCGUCAUUCCAGACAUCAGAUUUUUGAGCUAUUUGUCGUUUCAUAUUUACCUUUUCAAAGGAAUACGAGAAAGAAUUUUAGUUUAGAAGUCUUUAUACGAAUCACAAGAAGUACAAAUCAGCGGGGGCGUGAGGCCCUGGCAGGCGGACCGGCCUCGGCCGGGAACGGCGGCGGCCAGCGGCGAUGGGGCAGCAGGGCGCGGCACGGCGUGGCUGGCAAUGCGGGGCGGGGACAGCGGGCGAGGCCGCCGCAGGGUGCAGGGGCGGGCCAGCGGGAGCGAGGCGACGCAAGCUGCACGGCCGAGCAGAGCAGCAGCGGGCGUCAGAGGUGGACGGCGGCGAUGCGAGCUCGGCCGCGGGCGCGACCGGCGACAACGGGCGUGGGGUGCACGUGCGGCGGCUGCACGUGCAUGGGCGUGGUGGGCGGAGCUAGCAGCGGCAACAGCUUGCGUAGCUCGGGCGCGUUUGAGCGGCACCGGCGGUCACGCACGAGCUGUAGCAGGUGGUGCGGGCGAGGUCGGCGCGAGGCAAGUAGGACGCGGCCAGACGAGGGCGGGGCCGCGGUUAGCUCGACAAGGGGGGAUGGCGAGCGUGGCCGGGCGCGCAGAGGCACGGGCGAAGGAAGCAGGCGCGGCGAUGCUGCAAGCGGGAGUGGGCGAGAUCCAGAGGAGCAACGGCCAAUGGCGCGGGGCGCGGCGGGCGCGGCCGAGGAGCAGCAGUGCAGCAGCAGAAGCAAUGUUGAGCAGGCAGUAGCAGCAGCGGCUCAAGCACGCACGUACGUAGUAGCUCGAGCUCCGACCAUGGUCACUACACACGACCACGGGAGCGGCGGUAAACGGCACAGAUCGAAGGGGCAAAGCGGUGGAAUCGGCAGAGAGGCUCACCGAGAGGCACACAGGUGGCCGGCGAGAGGUUAGGAGCUGAAGCGGGCGGCGGAUCGACGGCAAGGAGCUUCGGCGUCCCGAUGAUGAAGAAGACGGGUUAGGCGUCGCUGUGCAGCUUCACCGGCCAGCCUCGGGCGUGGGCGGGACGAGGACGACGCCGGGAGGCCGUAGGACAGCUCGACGAGGCCGUUGGGGAGGAGUUCGGGGACGACGACGGUGCGGCGGAGACGAGGACGACGGUGCGGUGGAGACGGGGACGACGCGGCGACCUCGGGCAACUUCUCGAUCCAGGGGGAGGUNNN
rnacentral:lncRNA from 1 species